AUACUUUAAGAAAAGAUUUGGAUGUGCUGACCCCUGUGAUUUCCCCAAAUGUGGGAAACUCGACUGCAUAAUUUGUGGUAGUGGGGGACUGCGUUCGCGCUUUCCCCUG
rnacentral:snRNA from 1 species